UACAGGGGGGGGCAAGCGUUGUUCGGAAUUACUGGGCGUAAAGGGUCUGUAGGUGGCCAACUAAGUCAGACGUGAAAUCCCUCAGCUUAACUGGGGAACUGCGUCUGAUACUGGAUGGCUUGAGUGUGGGAGAGGAAUGCGGAAUUCCAGGUGUAGCGGUGAAAUGCGUAGAUAUCGGAGGAACACCGGUGGCGAAGGCGGCAUUCUGGACCAUAACGUGACACUGAGAGACGAA
rnacentral:rRNA from 1 species